GCCUGACUGGCUCAGUCAGUAGAGCGUGUGACUCUUGAUCUCAUGGUUGUGAGUUCAAGCCCCACGUUAGGAG
rnacentral:tRNA from 1 species